GGACAGGUGGCAAACGUUGCUCGGAAUUACUGGGCGUAAAGCGCGUGUAGGCUGACCGGAAAGUCGGGCGUGAAAUCCCUGGGCUCAACCCAGGAACUGCACUCGAAACUCCCGGUCUUGAGUGGUGGAGAGGGAAGUGGAAUUCCUGGUGUAGAGGUGAAAUUCGUAGAUAUCAGGAGGAACACCAGUGGCGAAGGCGGCUUCCUGGACACCAACUGACGCUGAGACGCGAAAAGCGUGGGGGAGCAAACAGG
rnacentral:rRNA from 1 species